rnacentral:piRNA from 1 species
CAACACCACCGGCAGUGUAUGGUAGCA